UAUACUGAGUUUGGAAAUCAAACUCAUCCCUACCUUCCAUCAUCUUUCCCUGUCAAUUUGUAAAAUAUAUGCAGAUUCUGGAAGCUAGACGUGCAUCAGCAUCUGAUAAUGCUGUGGCUUCUGACUACCUGUUUCACAACACAUUUAGAAGCCUUUAAAUGUUAAGAACAAGAGGAACCUGAACCCUUUCCCAAAAUUCAAGCUGCCAAAAUGAAUACAAAACAAUUUUAAGGACAAAGAAAGAAAUGAAGAAGAAAAAUAUAAAUGGCUCAGGGAUUCAUUUUGAAGCUACGUUUUACCUAGGUUUUGAAGGAUGUGUUUUUAGUACUGAGUAAGUUGACUAUUUCAGAUAGAAAGCCUAAAAUAAAAUCAUGCCCGCAGUUUUAGUCAACCAGGAAGCCUCUAGCUCUCUAAUCUCUCACUUGUCUAGGACGUGAUGCCAAAUCUGCUUGAUAAUCGCACGUAUGAGGAAUUAGUCUUUAGAAAUGAUGCACUUAGUAGUUGCCAAACGUAGAACCGAACUGCAGAUCCUCUUGCCGUGACGCGGAUUUACUUUGCAGGCCUAAAUUUAAGACCCGCUCUGAAUCAGACGCACGUAUAAUGUGAGGAGUACAGAUGUCAUCAGGCCCACUAGCUCUGUGACUGUGAAGCCCGUAGAGCUCCCGCUUUACCUGGACGAUGGUGAAGUCCCGCGAUGACCGAGUGAAAGAUGUCGCUAGCGCUCUUCGACACAGCCCACGGAGGGACGUAAACAACUACAGCAGUGGAGUAGGAGAACUCCCACGCUAGAUGAAAUUCUUCAACUCCUGACUUCCUGACUACAUGUCCGCUGGAUCCAAUUCCUUGCGCUCUGUUCUAGACAAUCGCAAAAGAUCUGCUUCCUUUCGUCUCUGUCAUCGUCAACAACUGCUUAUCUUCUGGAUACGUGCCUACUGCAUUCAAAACCGCCAGGGUCUCCAGACGUAUCUCAGCACGCUUGACUGACAUCGCGUC